AAGCCUCCUCCCCCACAUGCACCUCAUAGGUUGAUUUCUACUACUAAGAACAAUUCUGCACCUGAAUUUCAAUUUGAUAAUACAAAUGAAUCUGUCCAUGAAUCUACAUCUGAACCUACACCAAGGUUACAAUCUGAUGAAGAAAGGGAAGAAAAUGUGGGUAUUGAGAUGCAAACUGAACAAUCAAAGCAUGUAUCACGUAAAAGAUCAUGGCUUGUUGAUGUCAUUGGUAAGCUUGAAUCAAUACAUUGCAAACUCACAUUGUAUUUGUUUUUUAUGUUCGUCCUCUUAAACUAACAAUAAUUUUGACAGAUAGUGAAGGCAAAAAGGUUAGGAAACAAUUAAC
rnacentral:lncRNA from 1 species